ensembl:lncRNA
GUUUUUCUCAAAGGCUUUGCAUUUGAAGAGGUACAAACAGCAGCUAGGGUGGAACAUUUUCACCUGACACAUACCUGACAGCAACUUUUCUCACUGGCAGAGCUGUUGGCGGACACGCCUGUGCAUCAAAGCUCCCGAUCGGCAAAGGCCGGAGAGAGAAGGGCGCCGGAGAAGCAUGCGGGACUGCGGUCCACUAAACCCGGCGAGAAACGGAAAGAACUUUAGAAAUGGCCCUCCAGGAAUCUGCUGACGCGUGAGUCAUUAAGUCUCUGGUAGAGAUGCUUUGGAAGUGUCAGUGUUAGCCUGUUAAUGAGGCACGAGUCGGUGUGAAGGACUUUUGGAGGCUGGAGCUGGUGCUGCUGUGGAACCAAAGAAAACCUGCAGCUGUUCAACAUCAGCCAGUUGUUAAUCACAGGGGCAGGAGUGGAACCAGACUCCUGAGGCGCGGCCGUGACGCUGACUCAGAGUGAUGUUAAAGAUGAGUGAAUACACCCCAACCCAGCACCAGAGCCUGAACAGGGUCUAAAAUGAUGUCAUCCUACCCUGUGCAGCUACAGGUUUGAGUGUUUGUAGGAAUUUUCUUUCAGAAGUGAGCUGGUAAGGUCAGAC